UCCAGUGUGGUUUAGUUGGCCAAAAUGUGCUUUGGCUUUGGUGUUUGGGCCAAAGCAAGACCCAAGUUCGAUCCUUGGCGCCGGAC